AACAUACUCCCUCCGUUCCGAAUUACUUGUCGCACGUAUGGAUGUAUCUAGAUGUAUUUUAGUUAUAGAUACAUCCAUUUCAGCGACAAGUAAUUUGGGACGGAGGGAGUAUAUA
rnacentral:pre_miRNA from 1 species